rnacentral:rRNA from 1 species
AAUGAACGCUGGCGGCGUGCUUUACACAUGCAAGUUGAGCGAGGCCAGGGGGCAACCCCUGAGUCGAGCGGCGAACGGGUGAGUAACGCGUGGAUUAUCUGCCCUGAGGUGGGGAACAACCAGGGGAAACUCUGGCUGAUACCGCAUGAUACCGAGAGGUCAAAGGGGGCUCGCAAGGGCUCUCGCCACAGGAGGAGUCCGCGUCCGAUUAGCUAGUUGGUAGGUAAUGGCCUACCAAGGCGACGAUCGGUAGCCGGCCUGAGAGGGUGAUCGGCCACACUGGAACUGAGACACGGGUCCAGACUCCUACGGGAGGCAGCAGUGGGGAAUUUUUGCGCAAUGGGCUAACGCCUGACGCAGCAACGCCGCGUGGAGGAUGAAGGUCUUUGGAUUGUAGACUCCUGUCGACCGGGAAAAAGCAACCCGACCUAAUACGUCGGGAA